rnacentral:tRNA from 1 species
UAUUUACAAAUCUUAAUUAAACUUUAACUUUGAUUAAUCCUUU